UACGGAGGAUCCAAGCGUUAUCCGGAAUUACUGGGCGUAAAGAGUUGCGUAGGUGGCAUGGUAAGUCGCUAGUGAAAGCGUACGGCUCAACCGUAUAAACAUUAGUGAAACUGCCAAGCUAGAGGACGAGAGAGGUACCUGGAAUUCCUAGUGUAGGAGUGAAAUCCGUAGAUAUUAGGAGGAACACCGAUGGCGUAGGCAGGGUACUGGCUUGUUCCUGACGCUGAGGCGCGACAGCGUGGGGAGCAAACAGG
rnacentral:rRNA from 1 species